CCUACGGGAGGCAGCAGUGGGGAAUAUUGGGCAAUGGGCGCAAGCCUGACCCAGCAAUGCCGCGUGAAGGAAGAAGGCUUUCGGGUUGUAAACUUCUUUGACAGGGGAAGAGCAGAAGACGGUACCCUGAAAACAAGCCACGGCUAACUACGUGCCAGCAGCCGCGGUAAUACGUAGGUGGCAAGCGUUGUCCGGAUUUAAUGGGUGUAAAGGGCGUGUAGCCGGGAAUGCAAGUCAGAUGUGAAAUCUGGAGGCUUUAACUCCAAAUUGCAUUUGAAACUGUUUUUCUUGAGUACUGGAGAGGCAGACGGAAUUCCUUGUGUAGCGGUGAAAUGCGUAGAUAUAAGGAGGAACACCAGUGGCGAAGGCGGUCUGCUGGACAGCAACUGACGGUGAGGCGCGAAAGCGUGGGGAGCAAACAGGAUUAGAUACCCCGGUAGUC
rnacentral:rRNA from 1 species